rnacentral:lncRNA from 1 species
AGGCCUCCAGGGAAUUCCCACACCCUCUACUCUCUGCAGGCUCCUAUUCAAAACCUCUAUCUGGAGCUGGGGAGACAGCUCAGUUGGCAAAGUGCUUGUCAUACAAGAGCGAAAACCCCAAGUUUGAUCUCCAGAACCAAAACAGAAAAGCCAGGCUUGGUGCCAUAUGUUUGUAAUCUUGAUGCCACAGAGGCAGAAAGGAACAGUCGCCUGGUUGGGGCUUGCUGCGCAGUCAGCCUAACUAAUUUAGCAAGUUCCAGGCGAGUGACCACAACUUGUCUCAAACGACAAAGCAGGUGGUUUUGGAAAAAUUACUCCAGAGGUUGGCUUUUGUAUUUAUUCACAGGAGCACAUGCACACACACACACACACACACACACACACACACACACACACACACAUCCUGGCAUAUAUACAUGUACACGCACACGUGUGA